rnacentral:rRNA from 1 species
UACGUAGGGUGCAAGCGUUGUCCGGAAUUAUUGGGCGUAAAGAGCUCGUAGGUGGCCUGUCGCGUCGGCUGUGAAAACUCGGGGCUCAACUCCGAGCUUGCAGUCGAUACGGGCAGGCUAGAGUUCGGCAGGGGAGACUGGAAUUCCUGGUGUAGCGGUGAAAAUGCGCAGAUAUCAGGAGGAACACCGGUGGCGAAGGCGGGUCUCUGGGCCGAUACUGACACUGAGGAGCGAAAGCGUGGGGAGCGAACAGG